ensembl:lncRNA
CCAAGGUUUCAUCCUGGAUGGCAAAUACUACCGUCAUCCACCAGCCGGCGACGGAGAGCGCCCGUUGAACCCCAAUCAGCGAGAUGGGAGACACCUGGCUGGACAGCCAGGAAGACAUUUUAAAAGGAGCACGAGGACUGACAUUUGGGAGGAACGGGAGCGAGGAAGAAGGAAGCGCUCGGGUCCGCGAGCGACACGGGCCCACGGAGGCCAUAGAGACCGUCUAUCAUGGAUAUUUAACUGCAGUUCUGUGAGUAUCCCAACUUAACCAUGAAGAUGAACUGCAAACUGUAAGUCAUAAGUUUCUCAUUACUCUUGGGCACAUUGAUGUAUUUUGGCUUCCUGGUGAGUUAGCCCGUUUCCUGAUAGUUGAUCUGAGUAUUAAGGAUGUUUUAUUGGUUCAUGGGUUACUUAGGUGUUUGGUUUAUGUUUGUUUUAAUGAUUUGUUAAAAUGGUUACAGGCUCCAAGUUAUUGUUGUAAGCUGGAGUAAUGGGUUGGGUUCUGAUAUAAUCAGUCUUCUUUCCAGCUACUCUCCUGAGCUCUGCAUCUUCAUCACAUCAGUGUUGAUUUACUGAUGAGGCUGUGGUCUGAGUGAGCGGAGGUGCAUACUGGGAUACAGAGCUGUCUGAAGUCUACAGGACUGUAGACAAGCCCCCUAAGGGGAAACCGAGUGUUUGAGAAACCGUCGUGACGUCAGUGACAUGGACUGGAAUGUUCUUUAAAAUGGACUCAGGGAUUCAGAAGGAGAAACGCCAGGGGGAGAUGAGGGGGCUCCUCAUCUCAACGACUAAAACACAGCUUCAGUCUGACACGGAGAACCAUGGAACACAUUCAACAGUCCCCUCCAGGCAUCGUGACUCCUCAGGAACAGUUUCAUUUCCAUGAAGGUCUUAUUUGGGGCCAUCCCCAGAUGGAUCCUGCUCCUCAAGAGCCACCCCCUCCACUGGGUUGUCUUCUGAACAGAUGACCUCCUUCCUGUCAUCCGGCUGACUAAAGCUGUACUGUUUGCAUUUGUGAAGGCCCCUCAUUCAGGAAACCACUGGACUACAAAGACAUGACUUCAGAGACGUUGAAUCAACCUGGGACACAUUUUGUAGACGCCAAGCAUAAUCCAUCACCAAUGUGGGACGCCACUGAAGAAUGUUGUACAUAAGUAAACGUCUCUGGAGACAUUGGUUGUUCUGUUCUGGGUGCCCUGGCAGGAGAACUGGGGGGGGAUGAUGGAAUGUUAUUUGGCAUGAGGUUUUUACCCUGCAUGAUUGUUUGGCCUUUUAUGGCUCAGUGGUGUGUGUGUUUGGGUUUGACAUGAGAUGGAUGAUUUUUGAGCUGUGUGUGUGUGUGUCCCCCACUCACACCUGGCAUGGGGUUCUACUUGCCUGUCCUGGGUUCUAUGUGUGUCCGGCUUGCUUUGACAGUGAUUAUGUUCAUACAGGGGUCUGUGUGAUUGGCUUGGGAUAUUGGAAUGGUCAACUAAAUCAUACCUGAUGGACGGCCACACGUUUACUUAAGGGCCUCCAGUAGACAUGAAGAGCCCUGAGCAAUGCUCCGGAGCGAUAUCCAACACACUGGGCAGGAAGGAGUAUCCAAAUCAAGUGUAAAAGGGGCGUGUUCAGAUCAGUGACUUCAAACUAGGAUUUCACCAAUCAGGAUCAAUGGAGGAUGGACACCUAAAGGCAUUCCACAAGGAGAGUCUGACGUUGAAAAGGGACCUAAAUGGAUAUUCAAGAUGACCUUCAGACCUGUAAUGAGACGGCUCUUCCUACCUGGCUGGAUUGAUGGAGAGCCCUGUGGAUCUUGUCUUGCUCUCAGUUGCACGUCUUCUCAGGAUGAACUGUAUUUGUUUCGGACAGGACUAGCUGAACGAUUGUUUCCCUUAAAUCAGAACCAAUCCGGGAACUCUAGUGCGCUCGUCGAGCUGAAGUUGUGCUCUUCAGCUGAGGUGGUAAGGAAACCUAAACUGGGGCUUCAAGGUGUAAAGAGGAGAAUGUUUCAAAGUGUUCCAUGGUACUCUGAUGAAGACCGUCAUUGUGUUCCACUGGCUGAGAGGAAGAACCUCACAUCUUCUUCUUGGCCUUUCUCCUCUGAGAAUCCUGGCGCCAUCUUGAAGGAUAUUCCAGCUCAUGCAACUGAUGUCACGACAGAUUCUCAAACACUUGGUUUCUCCUGAGGAGCGCGUCUAUGGAACUGAACACUUCAGACGACACUGUAUCCCAGCAUGCAUCUCUGCUCACUCAGACCACACCCCCAUGAGUAGAAUGCAACAUUCUAGUGAUGGAGAUGUAGAGGGAGUAACGAGGGAGGAGACAAAGGUUAUUAGAACACAAUGGAAUGUCAAGUCUGUAAAUCUUUAAACCAUGAAGAUGGUUGGAUAGUUCAGGAAUUGGGCUUCUUUUUAUUAUGGGCAGUCCUUUCACUCAGAUGCCCGCUUCUCACUGGAGCUGUACAUGUGUUGGCUGGCUGGCGUGAUUUGGUGAUGAGGCGGUCAGGGUGACGUUGCAGGGCUAUGGUCGGUUCUCUGUGAGCUCAACGUUUAGAUUUGCUUUGUAUGGUUUGUACCCUGAAUAAUCUAGAUAAUUGUAAAAUGUAGACACGGUUUUGUAUUGAAUGAUUCCAGGAUUUAAUGUUUAAAGUUGUUGUGGGACGUACAUGGUAGUUUGGUUCUUCGUACGGUUUUGAGUGAUAUAACUUGUACACACUGGGUGCAUAAUAAUGUAAAGUACACUGAAUAGUAGUAAUGACUGACAGCAACAAACGGAUCUCCUCAAGGUAAGUCUGUUGGCUGUGUUUUAAUGAAGACCAUCGCUGGACUUCAGGAUCUUCCUCCGUUCAGCUCAAGGUGAGGCGCUGGUUCUGUUUUUUCUUUGGUUGGUUCCGGCCGGAAUGUUCGGAUUCCAGUCGGACGGUUUGUGCUUCCCGCCGUGGAAGGUUCUGAUUGCGGUCAAUCGAUUUAGUUCCAAUGGUUAGCAUAGAACGUUGUAGUCUUGACAACCAUAAGAAACCACCUGGCUGUUAGUUGGACGGGAGUCCCCUGAGGGAAUCUGGCGGAACGUUCUGGAUUGUAUUUGCGUAACCUCGAGUCGUUGCCAACGGAAACAAUUUUUCAGUCGGUUUCCCUUGGGAAUGGUUGCUCCUAUCUUAAACAACUUAAGUUUGAUAUUAAAUACAUACUGACACGUACGUCGUACAAUAUGUUGACUAUUUAUCAUGGUUGCGCCGUACUUUGAACCACGAUGACGGGACUCUCACUGCGUACAAAACAGCGUUCUACUUGCCGGCCCAUUUUUGACAUCAGUGAAGGCUGAUAAUCAUUUCAAGGUGGAAGAUAAUUUGACAUUUCUUCAGAGGAACCCAGCACCUGAUUCUGGUUGAGUAUAUUUGAUUUAGUAUCGAUACUGCUUAGUGUUCUUUGUUACUUCAGCUUUUAUACUUUCUAAAUAUCUGCUGUCAUUAAUUGCCACAGAAGUUAAACCCUACCCAAUGGAAUGACGUUAAACAACGACUUUGGUGCAGAGUUACCAACUGGAUAAUAUCAAACCUAAAAUAAUGGCCAUCCUUCCCACAUGUUACAGUAGAAGAUACUCUAGAACUGUACAAGGUUAAAAAGGUAACGUGUAGUUUGUCCCAAGGUGUCUGCCUCCUCACCCAGAGCAAGACCUCCACCUCCUCACCCAGAGCCAGACCUCCACCUCCUCACCCAGAGCCAGACCUCCACCUCCUCACCCAGAGCCAGACCUCCACCUCCUCACCCAGAGCCAGACCUCUACCUCCUGUCAGAAGUCUUCCAGAACAGACAAGGAACCCAUGGCUGAUGGAGGAGUUGUGCUGAAGGCCCUGCCUGGUGGAGGAGCUGGUGGAGGCCCUGCCUGGUGUAGGACGUCUGUCGUGGGGUAGAUAGAGCUUGACUCUGAAACAGGACUCUGUCUGAGGAGAGCUGCUGGAGGAGCUGAGACGCUGGAGGACGACUAGGAAUCGACCAACAAGGAUUCCUCAACGUGUUUCUGGAGCGGAGGUGAGCUGGUAGGGGAGCCAUGAAUCUGGAGGAUGACCAUCACUCUACCAACAAGGAUUACUUUAGGGCCAGACUCGCGCUGUUUGUUCCAGACCAGGACUCUGGCUGAGGAGAGCUGAUGGAGGAUCCAAGACUCUGGAGGACGACAUCACUCUACCAACCAGGAUCCUCGCAGACACACCUGAGCUGAACCUCACCUGAUCUUGUUUGGUCGGGGUUAGACACACCUGAGCUAAACCCGCCCUGAUCCUGACAUCCUGCUGGUCCCGUCUCCUCAGUUCAUCUGCGCCUCGUCCUCCAGAAGACCUGCUGAGCUCAGCAGUCUGAGGCUGAUGGAUCAAUGACCUCCAGUGGGAGUGAUCUUCUUGACCCCACAUGUAACCGUGUGUUUCCACACGCCUUUCCCUCAUGUUUGUCACUAACCUCACUACUUCACUACUCUCUGCUGCUUCCUCUUUUCUUCCUUCUCUGUGGUUCGAACCUUUACACGGAAGGCGCGUCUUCCUGCCCUCAGAGGGUUCAGCGUUAGGGUUGAGAGUCAGGGUUUAGAGUCAGGGACAGAGCUGGUCAGGGAGGACUGCUUUUGCACAAACCUCUUCACUUCCUUUCGGAAUGGUGGUGACAUUUUGAAAAGAUUCAUUUGGGAAAAUGUUUUCCUCUGCUUUCCUUUACAAAAUUGUAUUAAAUUUCUGUCAAGUGCUUUUGUUUAGAUAUUAAAAUCCCACAUUGACUUCUACAUGUUUGGUGCGGUUCAUUUAAUUGUCCUUUAACUUGGUUAAUGUCAAGCUAAACUCCAGUAAUACAUUUAAUAUACAUGAUUGUUAUUCAGCAAUGUUCACAUUAUCCAUUUUGUAAAAAUAUGAAACCU